UGUUUUUCCUGGAUCCGCCCCUGAGUCUUGUAGCUAACAAAAAGCUAGCGCUUUAGUGCAAGGCUAACUCAUAUGUUGAAUAGAAAGUUUGUGCGAACAGAUGAUGCUAUGAAAGAUUCUGAAGAGACUGCAACAGCCUUCAAUGUGAGUCAAACUAGCCAUAACUCGAGAAAGAAGCUUUAGUUUGCUAAUCCACAAAUCAAAAUCCAAGAGAACGUGGCUAGAAGCCUAUAGAAGCUGUUAGUUUUCGUCGCAUUGCAACCGUUGAGCAGUUACAGCUGGAACAGACACACAGACACACAGACACACACACACAGUCAGCUUUACCGUAUCCCUCGUGCGGCUACGCCUCGAGGCAUAAUUACAUUUGCAUGUACUUGAGUCAUUAUGCUGAGUCAACACAAGUAUAACAGUUCUUAUCAACUAUGCAUGAAUCAUCACCCAUAAUAUAUAAUUGCCAUUCAUUGUUACCCUUUAUGCUCGCUAAUAUAUAGCUUAUUUAUACUUUACAUGCAUGCGCGGGGUUAUUCACAAUCAACAAUUAUUGGUUGGUAUUAGAGUGUAUAAAAAUUCCCUGGAUUCAGUUUCAAUUAAUUUUUAUGAAAGCUUAGAACGAGACCUUUCAAAUUGUCAGGAUAAAAGUGUUUGCCAAUUUGGCCAUUAUUAUAGAUGUGUAGCUUCCCUUGAAUCCCUUCCCAACUUAUCGAUGAUCACCAUGCAUGCAGGCAAUCAGCCUUGGUUGCCGUCCGUAUAAUGAUACUUUAUCUCUCAAACAAUAAUAUGAGCUUUGAAGUUUAAUAUUAUAUGGCAGCUGAAAGAGUCCCCGACUCCCCGACUCAUUUAUUAAAAGGGGGUUGUAGUUUAACAUCUUUCCACAGCCAAAGUCCUGAAAACUUAGAAAGAAAACUUUAAUUCGAAUUUAUUUUGUGAUUUUAAAAUCCAACAUUUCUUUGGGGCCAUAAAUUUGAAAUUUUUCAUUUCGGCCAUAGACUAGACCACAGGCUAGCCUGGGCCAACUCUCAGUGAAUCACACUCGCUCCAUUGCAUGCUGUUGCUCAAACUUAUUGAGGCAACUCAGUGUAUUAAUUUAUGUGCACGUCGUUUGAGUGCAUGUCCAUGUUUUAGUUAUCUAUCCCAUGGCCAGCCACUAAAAUCUGAUCUUUUUGCCUAUUUGCUACCCAUUUCCAUGCAUGAGUUGACACCACUGGCCGACGAUGUCACCACAGUAACUACUCGUCAUGUGACGUCAUCACAGCGGAGGGUGCUCUCACGCUGCUCUAUAGAACAAGAGUGGUGUGUGUGAUCGAAAGCAGAUGAGCUGGAGUUAGCCAUGAACAAAGUAACAGAUGGUGAGUAGACUGCAUCACGAUAUCAGUGCCCAAUGUCGUGGUGGAAUUUACUGUUUGUGCUAGAUUAGGUCCCUCCUUUAUAGUAUAGCUUUGGUGUACUUGCAAUAUUGAUUGCUGAUUGCUGAUUGUUCAUAUCAACACCAUGCAAUUAUUAUCGAGCUCUAUAGAGUUUGUACAUGCAGUCAUUUAACGUGCAAUUUCAAAAUUUAACCCUUUCCCCGCUUUAGCCGACUAUAGUCGGCAUGGCUACUGAUAAAUUUCAAAAAAUCGUUGUGCACGCUGUGUUGGAGCUAUGCGCACGCUGCAGGUACCAGCACAUGCGCAUUGAGCUGCUCUUCCUCGUGGUAUUUUUAAUAUUUUGCUUCGAGGUACGGUUCGAUCAGAAUUGUCGAAAGAAAAGUGACCGUUUUAUAAUUGCUACAAGAUCUUCGUAGUACAACCUCAGGGAGGUUCUAGGGAAGCUAGAGAGUGAGAAUAUAGAUGCCUAUGGCCUUGUAGAGUGAGAGGACAGUGACUGGGAUCAUAGCUAGGUAGGAAGCUUCCUUUCAGAGGUCAAGCUAAAAAGAAAGAGCCUGAGAAUCCUGAGGAAGACGCACUUGAGGUGGACCAUCUUCCUGAACCUGGUGAAGAAAAUAUUUCCCGGGAAAAGGGUGUCUGCCGAUAGAACCUCAAAUACAAGUUUCUGCAGAUCCUGAUUGAGUCCUGAGUCAGCCAUGUCACCGUGAGAACAUUCUGAACACUUAUAUCAUGUGUUCAGUCACUUCGUAACAUCACACAAUAUUGUUUGUGUACAUAAUUAUAAAUUUUUGUUAACAAUUGUUAUUUGUGGGGUGGUGGUUGGUUGCUAGGCAACAAUGAUGAUUCCAUGAAUGCGACAGGUCCGGUUCUACCUGUGGAACUUUGUUACAAGUGUUUUUAAUAUACGGUUCAUGAGUUAUAAAUUUUUUAAACAAAAUAUGCGAAUAUUCACUUUUAAUUAAAGCAGGGAAAGGGUUAAUACAUAGCUUAAUGUUGGGCUCUUCUUUUUAGAGUGACAAUAAUUAUUGAGUGCCAAUGUGCACUGGAAACUGUAGACUACGUCUAUAUAGCUAUACUUGUUGUGCUGGAUCAACUGUGUACAGAUGUAUGUGAUGGCUGGAGCAUUCUUAACUGGAGGAGCGGGGCUGGUCUGUAAUCGUGUUCUGUAAUAGGAGCCAGCUAGGUCAUCCAUGUAUGAUAGCCUCAGCUGGUCAGGCCUCGUGGUUGGGUUGGUGAUGGGAGAAGCCUUGUGACUAGAUCAGAGUCAGCUAUUUUUCUGGCUCCAUCUGCAUAAGUAGUUGUAUCAACGUUAUCUUUUUCCUGGACGUAAUCGGCUACUUCAAAUUGUUCCUCGUCAUUGGCAUUUGUUAUGUGGUACAUUGCUUGCUGGUUAUUAGCUUGCCAUUUUCUUAAUGCAUAGUUUUCCAUUUUGAGCUAUUUAGCAAACUUUUGAGUAAAGACCGCGGGAUAAAGUAACCUUUGAACCCUAAACUUUUAUUCAUCGCUCGAUGAAUGACCUACCAUCGCUGGAUGUAUAGAGUUGCAUCCCUGGAUAAAUAUGUAAAUUGCUGUAUAAAUAUUUGUCCUCCCAGCAUUUUUUUGUGACGCGUGUAGUGUUAAAACACCACAUAAUUGUUCAUAUUUUUCCCGUCCUCAGACCUAGUGAGGUGUCGUCCUGGAUAAAUAUGUAAAUCGCUGUAUAAAUAUAGAGUUACGUAUACAUCACUCAAUGAUUGUAAUACAUGCAUCGCUCGAUAAAAUACCGCCUGCAACUGGAUUAAUGAUCAACAAUUUUAAAACAAACAGCUAACCAUAAUUAUGGCCUAACUCUAAGUUUAACGGCAGCUGAAAGAGUCCCCGAACCUUUGAUUAAAAGGGGGUUGUAGUUUUACAUCUUUCCACAGCCAAAGUCCGAAAACUUAGAAAGAAACCUUUCAAAUUGUGAGUUUAAAUCCAGUUGGGGCCAUAAUUUGUAAUUUUGGCCAUGGACCAUGUGCUAUAUGAUGGGUUCGGGUUACCCCCUGGGCCAACUCUCAGUAAAUCACACUCGCUACAUUGCGUGCUGUUGCUCAAACUUAUUGAGGCAACUCGGUGUAUUAAAUUAUGUGCACAUUUGAGUGGAUCGUGCAAUGUUACAAUUUACUUAUAAUUAUCUACCCCAUGGCCAGCCACUAAAAUCGAGCGUAUUUGUUACCCAUUUCCAUGUAUGAGUUGACAUCACUGGCCGACGAUAUCACCAUGGUAACUACUCGUCAUGUGACAGUCAUCACAACGGAGGGUGCUCUCACGCUGCUUUAUAAAACCAAGAGGGGUGUGUGCCAUCAAAGCUUUGGUGUCCAUGUGGCAGAAAUAGUGUAGUUCCCUCAAGGCAUCAUCGACGCUGCACGGAGGAAAGUAGAUGAGCUGGAGUUAGCCAUGAACAUAGGAACAGAUGCAGGUGGUGAUAAGGAACCAGCUGCAAAGCGCAGUCGCUCAGAGAGGGUGGAGGGAGAGAGACUGAUACAAUUUGUAUUGAAAGCCAAGGAGCUUGUGGAGGGCUCUCUGCCUGAAGUCGACAAUGGACGACAUGAAGCGGGAGAUUAGUACCAGUGACAAUACUUAUGUUAAGGAAAUUAUUCAAUCCUGUGUUUAGUAUAAUUAUUAUCCAACACUCACAUCUGUCAUUCGUUAUUGCUCCUUGUGAUACAUGUUCUAUACAAUGUAGCUAAUUUACUUGAGUCCACACAAGCUUAGAUCAUGUUUGUCAUAAAUACUGCAAUCUGAUUGGUUAGAGGAAAUGUUCUAUCCAAUUUAGAAAAUCAUGUACUUCAAUAGAAAAUCAUGUACUUCAAUAGAAAAUCAUGUAGCAAAGAUUUGAUCAAGAUAAGAUAAUAAUCAUAAUAAACGUACAUAAUAAUAAUAAUAAUAAGCAAUACUUGACGUCAAUGAGUGUUUCUUUGGUAUUGUUUCCUUUCUUGCUUGUUCUACUUCUUUACUUGACUUUGGGGGAACGAAUUUUCUUGCUUUCUUUGCCACUGGAGCAGUAAGUAGGUUCUCACUGGCUAUGGAGGAGAGCAAAUAGUCUACGAACCUUCGUCUUGCAGGUCAGAGAGAGCAGAGAGCAGAUAGGAAGGUGGGGCUGGUUGCUGCAGCAGAUAUGGAGGUGGGGCUGGUUGCUGCAAAGACAGAGCUGGAGGUGUGGCUGGUUUGGAAGGAAGCAGGGAAGGGUGGGCUGGGUUUCAGUAGUUCGAAACCGUGUAAUAGGGGAACUCAAGAAAGCGUUCGGCACAGGAGGAGGCUCAGAAUCCAUUGUUUGUGCGUUCAAACCAUUGUUGUCAGGCGUAUGAGCGUUGUUGCUAUGAUCUAAAAUGCUUAGACACUGUUUAGGAAGUUUCCACGUGAUUUAGAAGCCCUCAGGGCUAGUAGAACCCUCACUGCGUUCGGGAUUCUACAGAACGCCCUUUGGGCUUCUAAAUCACGUAGAAACUUCCUAAACAG